AGCCAGUAAGACCUGAAAGACAAACAGCCGGCAGCGGAUUGGAAGAGAAUCAUUCAGGCUCCUGAGCAAACGCUGCUGUGGUCGUGAUGAGGGUCAAAGAUCCUCAAAACAAUCAGCCAGACUUCAAUGAUCAGCAAAGAUACCCGGAAGUGUCGGUCUCAGUAUAAUAAACAAAGAAGCACGUUUGAACAUCUGCCAAACUCCAAAACAAACGGGUUAGCUGGUUGCUCGCUGACCGUUAGCGACUAAAAGAGACGAGGCGGGUCAGUGAACGCACCACAGAGUACAUCCUGUCCAGAGAUCGGCUGCUCAGGUCGACCAUCUUCUUCAUUAAUCCGGGACGGAUGAGACACGACAAAGUAUUUUAGCCCACCGACUUCAGCAGGCCAACGCUAACGUGAAGCGACCAUCCCACCUGUCUCAGGUCACGUCAACAAAAAGGAAGCUGGAGUCCAAAUUAAAUGGAGUUUAAUGCGACAAAUUCCCGUCUAAUAAAAGUCCUUUUGUUAAGGCUUGAUAACUAGUGGCCUUAUUCUCGGUUAACAACUCAUUCACUCAUGCGUUUAAGCCAUUAAGACUGUUGGUUUAGCUGGUGUUUGUUCUGCAGGACACUUGGCUUAUGAACACUAUGGAACCACUCACCUCCUGCUGAAGCCUGCAGAACAUCUGGACCAAAACUGAUGUAUUGAUUGACUGAUUAGUUGAUUAGCCGUGUGUGAGGAUGUUUUUGUCUCAUGUUAAUAAACUGAACAUCUGAUUGUUUUACUGACAGCAUCA